GGGGAUUUAGCUCAACAGCACAAGUGCCUGCCUUGCAAGCAGGAAGUUGUGGGGUUAAUCCCCG
rnacentral:tRNA from 1 species